GCGGUUCUUAAUAAUUUCUAAAUUGAUCAACGGGGAACUAUUGAAAGGUAUGUUAUAAAGCAUGUCAAUACCGAAGCAAUAGAUACUGAACUGAUGAUACCCACUAACACUCAUGCAGCAGUAAAUAUCCAGUGCUAGACAAUGAAAAUAACACACAAUAAUUUGUAAUUGUCAUCAGGCACGCUCAUACUCACAAUUGUAAAGGCAAAGGGUAUAUAAUCACCAGAAGUCAUGGAU
rnacentral:lncRNA from 1 species